AAGAUUGAAGGCGAUGGAGCUCGCCAUAACCGCCGAUUCAGCGAUCCCGAUGGGAGGCUGAAGGGCUGAUGGCUCCUACCUGUCC
rnacentral:ncRNA from 2 species